AGUGAACGCUGGCGGUAUGCCUAACACAUGCAAGUCGAACGGCAGCACAGUAAUAGCUUGCUCUUACGGGUGGCGAGUGGCGGACGGGUGAGGAAUACAUCGGAAUCUACUUUUUCGUGGGGGAUAACGUAGGGAAACUUACGCUAAUACCGCAUACGACCUACGGGUGAAAGCAGGGGAUCUUCUGACCUUGCGCGAUUGAAUGAGCCGAUGUCGGAUUAGCUAGUUGGCGGGGUAAAGGCCCACCAAGGCGACGAUCCGUAGAUGGUCUGAGAGGAUGAUCAGCCACACUGGAACUGAGACAAGGUCCAGACUACUACGGGAGGCAGCAGUGGGGAAUAUUGGACAAUGGGCGCAAGCCUGAUCCAGCCAUACCGCGUGGGUGAAGAAGGCCUUCGGGUUGUAAAGCCCUUUUGUUGGGAAAGACAAGCAGCAGGUUAAUACCCCGCUGUUCUGACGGUACCCAAAGAAUAAGCACCGGCUAACUUCGUG
rnacentral:rRNA from 1 species